GCGGCUAUGGUGGAAUCGGUAGACACAAGGGAUUUAAAAUCCCUCGCUAUAUGGCGUCCCAGUUCAAGUCUGGGUAGCCGCACCA
rnacentral:tRNA from 1 species